rnacentral:misc_RNA from 1 species
GAUGAAGAACGUAGCGAAAUGCGAUAAGUAAUGUGAAUUGCAGAAUUCAGUGAAUCAUCGAAUCUUUGAACGCACAUUGCGCCCAUUAGUAUUCUAGUGGGCAUGCCUGUCCGAGCGUCAUUAAGUCCACUUAAGCCCUGCUUAGUGUUGGGAGACUGCUCCAGCGGUGCUACCCUGUAGCUACCCUGCAGCUCCUCAAAGACAGCGGCGGAGUUGUGGUAUCCUCUGAGCUUAGUAACUUGUUCUAGCUUUCGAGUACACCACUUCCCCUGCCGUAAAACCCUUAAUUUUUAAUGGUUGACCUCGGAUCAGGUAGGAAUACCCGCUGAACUUAAGCAUAUCAAUAAGCGGAGGA